rnacentral:ncRNA from 12 species
ACUUUGAAAAAUAAAUACUUAUAACUCAGUGCUAAACAUAAUUUCGCAGAUUAUGCUGAGAAGCACCGUAAGGUCGGAUGUAAUAAGUUUUUAAAGGAUACUUUAAAACGCAAUCCGUGUAGUAAAUCGAGAGAUUUAUUAUGUAGAGGAUGGAAAAUCUCAAACCAAGGUGUGGUACUGGUUUUAACGCAAGUAAAGGUAGUAAGCGAGUGGGCGGCGCAAUAGAUAGCAGAACUAAUACUUUUGCCGAAUCUAAGUUAGACUUUGCGGGUGGUGCUGAAAGUAAACCUUAGAAAUACCAUAAGCCGUUUUGUCGUGAAACGAAGAAAUUCGUGUAUAACACUUGUAUGCAACUCCGAGUAGCCAAAAUGACAAGGCUGUAAUUCAAGUAAAUGUAAUUUCAAAUAUUGAUUUUAAUAGAAGAUUAAAAUUUUUACUUUGUGAAUUGCUGGUGAAAGGUGCAGGUAAUCAUUCCUGUCAGGGUUUUAUGAAGUUUAACUUCUGGGGUAGGAAAGUUAUGGGGUAGCUCCCUAUGGCUCACGCCUAUUUCCUCUGUGACUGAAUAUACUUGAAGUUAAUACGCAGUAGGUUGAAGAACCAUAAGAUAUUUAUUUUUCAA